UACAGAGGUCUCGAGCGUUAGGCGGAAUCACUGGGCUUAAAGCGUGUGUAGGCGGAUCGUUAAGUACCUUGUGAAAUCCCACGGCUUAACCGUGGAACUGCUUGGUAUACUGGCGGUCUUGAGCCAGCUAGGGGCUACCGGAACAAAUGGUGGAGCGGUGAAAUGCGUAGAUAUCGCUUGGAACGCCAAAGGUGAAAACAGGUUGCUGGGGGUUGUGCCGACGCUGAGACACGAAAAGCCAGGGGAGCAAACGGGG
rnacentral:rRNA from 1 species